UUCAAUAGCGGAGGAAAAGAAACCAACAGGGAUUGCCCUAGUAACGGCGAGUGAAGCGGCAACAGCUCAAAUUUGAAAUCUGGCUCCUUUGGGGUCCGAGUUGUAAUUUGCAGAGGGAGCUUUUGGCGUCGGUCGUGGUCUAAGUUCCUUGGAACAGGACGUCACAGAGGGUGAGAAUCCCGUACGUGGCCGCCGGCCUUCGCCUUGUAAAGCCCCUUCGACGAGUCGAGUUGUUUGGGAAUGCAGCUCUAAAUGGGAGGUAAAUUUCUUCUAAAGCUAAAUACCCGCCAGAGACCGAUAGCGCACAAGUAGAGUGAUCGAAAGAUGAAAAGCACUUUGGAAAGAGAGUGAAAAAGCACGUGAAAUUGUUGAAAGGGAAGCGCUUGCGGCCAGACGUGCCCGCGGUUGAUCAUCCAGGCUCCAGCCUGGUGCACUCCUCCGCGGGCAGGCCAGCAUCAGUUCGGGCGGUCGGAUAAAGGCCUCUAUCACGUACCACCCCUCGGGGUGGCCUUAUAGGGGAGGCGCAACACGGCCAGCCCGGACUGAGGUUCCGCGCAUCUGCUAGGAUGCUGGCGUAAUGGCAGCAAGCGGCCCGUCUUGAAACACGGACCAAGGAGUCUAACAUCUAUGCGAGUGUUUGGGUGUCAAGCCCGAGCGCGCAAUGAAAGUGAACGGAGGUGGGAACCCUUACCGGUGCACCAUCGACCGAUCCUGAUGUCUUCGGAUGGAUUUGAGUAAGAGCAUAGCUGUUGGGACCCGAAAGAUGGUGAACUAUGCCUGAAUAGGGUGAAGCCAGAGGAAACUCUGGUGGAGGCUCGCAGCGGUUCUGACGUGCAAAUCGAUCGUCAAAUUUGGGCAUAGGGGC
rnacentral:rRNA from 1 species